rnacentral:rRNA from 1 species
UACGAAGGGGGCUAGCGUUGUUCGGAUUUACUGGGCGUAAAGCGCACGUAGGCGGAUCGUUAAGUCGGGGGUGAAAUCCUGGAGCUCAACUCCAGAACUGCCUUCGAUACUGGCGAUCUUGAGUCCGGAAGAGGUGAGUGGAACUCCUAGUGUAGAGGUGGAAUUCGUAGAUAUGGGGUGGAACACCGGUGGCGAAGGCGGCCAUCUGGACGGUAACUGACGCUGAGACGCGAAAGCGUGGGGAGCAAACAGG